rnacentral:lncRNA from 1 species
GUCCCUACAAAUCCACAUGCACAUGUAGACAAGGUAAAUUUGUCACAAAACAUCAUUUAAAAUCUUAUACUUGCGGCAAGCCAAGACAUAAACAAGUUGUCAGGCCUCUUUUCUAUCAACAGGUUCAAUGUUCGAAUAUGAAAAGGUGUUUCUAGUUCUCUAAUAUGCGUAUACUUUCCAUAGGUGAAAUGAUUAGUAGCACACUCACAUUUAGUUUAAAAAAAUGUUUUUUUUAUUUUUAUUAUUCUGUUUUAUUUUAUUUUAAUUCUAUUGCA